rnacentral:rRNA from 1 species
UAGGGAAUCUUCGGCAAUGGGGGCAACCCUGACCGAGCAACGCCGCGUGAGUGAAGAAGGUUUUCGGAUCGUAAAGCUCUGUUGUAAGUCAAGAACGGGUGUGAGAGUGGAAAGUUCACACUGUGACGGUAGCUUACCAGAAAGGGACGGCUAACUACGUGCCAGCAGCCGCGGUAAUACGUAGGUCCCCGAGCGUUGUCCGGAUUUAUUGGGCGUAAAGCGAGCGCAGGCGGUUUGAUAAGUCUGAAGUUAAAGGCUGUGGCUCAACCAUAGUUCGCUUUGGAAACUGUCAAACUUGAGUGCAGAAGGGGAGAGUGGAAUUCCAUGUGUAGCGGUGAAAUGCGUAGAUAUAUGGAGGAACACCGGUGGCGAAAGCGGCUCUCUGGUCUGUAACUGACGCUGAGGCUCGAAAGCGUGGGGAGCGAACAGGAUUAGAUACCCUGGUAGUCCACGCCGUAAACGAUGAGUGCUAGGUGUUGGAUCCUUUCCGGGAUUCAGUGCCGCAGCUAACGCAUUAAGCACUCCGCCUGGGGGAGUACGACCGCAAGGUUGAAAC